rnacentral:rRNA from 1 species
UACGAAGGGGGCUAGCGUUGCUCGGAAUCACUGGGCGUAAAGCGCACGUAGGCGGAUUGUUAAGUCAGGGGUGAAAUCCUGGAGCUCAACUCCAGAACUGCCUUUGAUACUGGCGAUCUUGAGUCCGGGAGAGGUGAGUGGAACUGCGAGUGUAGAGGUGAAAUUCGUAGAUAUUCGCAAGAACACCAGUGGCGAAGGCGGCUCACUGGCCCGAUACUGACGCUGAGGUGCGCAAGCGUGGGGAGCAAACAGG